rnacentral:misc_RNA from 1 species
GAUGAAGAACGUAGCGAAAUGCGAUACUUGGUGUGAAUUGCAGAAUCCCGUGAACCAUCGAGUUUUUGAACGCAAGUUGCGCCCGAAGCCUUUUGGCCGAGGGCACGUCUGCUUGGGCGUCACGCAUCGCGUCGCCCCCCCACAAUUCUCCGUAAAGGGAACAUGUGUUUUGGGGGCGGAUAUUGGUCUCCCGUGCUCAUGGCGUGGUUGGCCGAAAUAGGAGUCCUUUCGAUGGACGCACGAACUAGUGGUGGUCGUAAAAACCCUCGUCUUUUGUUUCGUGCUGUUGCUCGCAAGGUAAACUCUUUAAAAACCCCAAUGCGUCGUCUCUUGACGACGCUUCGACCGCGACCCCAGGUCAGGCGGGACUACCCGCUGAGUUUAAGCAUAUCAAUAAGCGGAGGA